GACAGAGGCCUCAAGCGUUAGGCGGAAUCACUGGGCUUAAAGCGUGUGUAGGCGGACGCCUAAGUGUCUUGUGAAAUCCCCCGGCUCACCCGGGGAACUGCUGGGCAUACUGGGCGUCUUGGGCCAACUAGGGGCAACUGGAACAAGCGGUGGAGCGGUGAAAUGCGUAGAUAUCGCUUGGAAGCGCCGAAGGUGAAAACAGGUGCUGGGGUUGUGCCGACGCUGAGACACGAAAGCCAGGGGAGCAAACGGG
rnacentral:rRNA from 1 species